GGCUCCAUAAAACAGUUGUAACCUAUCGCCGCGUGAUAACCUAUACGGAUAUCCUCGGUAAUUCUGAGGCUAAUACGUGAAAAUUGAUCCUUAAUCUCGGGCAACUGAGAGAGAGGACGCUGAGCACCCCUUAUCAACCGACUUUCGGUGUGAAUACGGGCUCAGCAUGACCGCGCAAGCGGCAGCUGGCGCUUUGCUUCUGACCUAUCAACUCACGAUGCAGGCGUAAAGCACAAACAUGGUAACAACGGGUACAGAGGAUAAGGGUUCGAU
rnacentral:rRNA from 1 species